ACUCUAUUUCUUUCAAUUUCUGU
rnacentral:snRNA from 1 species